AUGAUGAUGCUGCUCUGUCCCCUGCUCGUCCUGGCCCUGUCUCCAGGCAUCCAGUCCCAGUCCCAGCUCCAGGAGUCUGGCCCAGGAGUGGUGAAGCCUGGGGAGACCCUCAGCCUGACCUGCACCAUCACUGGUGGCUCUGUCACUAGCAGUUACUGGUGGAACUGGAUCCGGCAGGCUUCUGGCAAAGGACUGGAGUGGAUUGGGGCAUGGACUGGUAGCACAAGCUACAACCCAGCUUUGCAGAACAGAAUCGCCAUCUCCGUGGACUCCUCCGGCACCAAGUACUGCCUGCGGCUCAGCUCCCUGACAGCUGCAGACACCACCAUGUAUUACUGUGUCGGCAGUGGCACAGUGACAGAGAGCAGGGCAGGGGCUGCACAAAAUGGGGAAGUGGAUUCUUAA